UUCCACGUGUAGCGGUGAAAUGCGUAGAGAUGUGGAGGAACACCAGUGGCGAAGGCGACUCUCUGGUCUGUAACUGACGCUGAGGCGCGAAAGCGUGGGUAGCGAACAGGAUUAGAUACCCUGGUAGUCCACGCCGUAAACGAUGAGUGCUAAGUGUUAGAGGGUUUCCGCCCUUUAGUGCUGCAGUUAACGCAUUAAGCACUCCGCCUGGGGAGUACGGCCGCAAGGCUGAAACUCAAAGGAAUUGACGGGGGCCCGCACAAGCGGUGGAGCAUGUGGUUUAAUUCGAAGCAACGCGAAGAACCUUACCAGGUCUUGACAUCCCGCUGACCGGUAUAGAGAUAUACCUUUCCCUUCGGGGACAGCGGUGACAGGUGGUGCAUGGUUGUCGUCAGCUCGUGUCGUGAGAUGUUGGGUUAAGUCCCGCAACGAGCGCAACCCUUAAUCUUAGUUGCCAGCAUUCAGUUGGGCACUCUAAGGUGACUGCCGGUGACAAACCGGAGGAAGGUGGGGAUGACGUCAAAUCAUCAUGCCCCUUAUGACCUGGGCUACACACGUGCUACAAUGGAUGGUACAAAGGGUCGCAAAACCGCGAGGUCAAGCUAAUCCCAUAAAACCAUUCUCAGUUCGGAUUGCAGGCUGCAACUCGCCUGCAUGAAGCCGGAAUCGCUAGUAAUCGUAGAUCAGAAUGCUACGGUGAAUACGUUCCCGGGCCUUGUACACACCGCCCGUCACACCACGAGAGUUUGUAACACCCGAAGUCGGUGGGGUAACCCUUACGGGAGCCAGCCGCCGAAGGUGGGACAGAUGAUUGGGGUGAAGUCGUAACAAGGUAACC
rnacentral:rRNA from 1 species